GCCGUGGUUGCUCAGUCAGUAGGUCAUGCGACUCCUAAUCUCGGGGUCGAGGGUUCGAGUCCCAUGUUGGGCA